rnacentral:rRNA from 1 species
AGUGAACGCUGGCGGUAGGCCUAACACAUGCAAGUCGAACGGCAGCACAGUAAGAGCUUGCUCUUACGGGUGGCGAGUGGCGGACGGGUGAGGAAUACAUCGGAAUCUACUUUUUCGUGGGGGAUAACGUAGGGAAACUUACGCUAAUACCGCAUACGACCUACGGGUGAAAGCAGGGGAUCUUCGGACCUUGCGCGAUUGAAUGAGCCGAUGUCGGAUUAGCUAGUUGGCGGGGUAAAGGCCCACCAAGGCGACGAUCCGUAGCUGGUCUGAGAGGAUGAUCAGCCACACUGGAACUGAGACACGGACCAGACUCCUACGGGAGGCAGCAGUGGGGAAUAUUGGACAAUGGGCGCAAGCCUGAUCCAGCCAUACCGCGUGGGUGAAGAAGGCCUUCGGGUUGUAAAGCCCUUUUGUUGGGAAAGAAAAGCAGCAGGUUAAUACCCCGCUGUUCUGACGGUACCCAAAGAAUAAGCACCGGCUAACUUC